GUGGGGGGGGUGCUUAUAAUGCAGUCGAACGGGUGCUCGCAAGAGCAUCAGUGGCGAACGGGUGAGUAACGCGUUGGUGACCUGCCCUGGAGAGCGGGAUAACAGGCCGAAAGGCUUGCUAAUACCGCAUGUCCAAAUGGUAGUUAGAGAGCCAUUUGGAAAGGACGUAAGUCGCUCUGGGAGGGGCCUGCGACCCAUCAGCUAGUUGGUAAGGUAACGGCCUACCAAGGCGAUGACGGGUAGGGGACCUGAGAGGGUGGCCCCCCACAAUGGAACUGAAACACGGUCCAUACACCUACGGGUGGCAGCAGUAGGGAAUAUUGCUUAAUGGGCGCAAGCCUGAAGCAGCAACGCCGCGUGUGCGAUGAAGGCCUUCGGGUUGUAUAGCACUUUUUGCUGGGAAGAGGAAGGACGGUACCAGCAGAAUAAGCCUCGGCUAACUACGUGCCAGCAGCCGCGGUAAAACGUAGGAGGCGAGCGUUAUCCGGAUUUACUGGGUGUAAAGCGCGUGCAGGCGGUUUGUUAAGUUGGGUGUGAAAGCUUCUGGCUCAACUGGGAGAGGUCGCUCAAGACUGGCAGACUCGAGAGCAGCAGGGGAAGGUGGAAUUCCGGGUGUAGUGGUGAAAUGCGUAGAUAUCCGGAGGAACACCAGUGGCGAAGGCGGCCUUCUGGGCUGCAUCUGACGCUCAGACGCGAAAGCUAGGGGAGCAAACGGGAUUAGAGACCCCGGUAGUCCUAGCCGUAAACGAUGUGAACUUGGCGCCGGUAGGGUAAAACCCGAUCGGUGCCGGAGCAAACGCGAUAAGUUCACCCACCUGGGGGACUACCGGCCGCAAGGGUUAAAACCUCCAAAGGG
rnacentral:rRNA from 1 species